AAAAGAAGAAAAGAGGAAGGAGGGCUCUCGGCGGAAGAAAAGAAAGGGGGAGGGAGAGCUCUUGGCUUUGACCUUGGAAGGAAGAACGAGGCCAAAGAGACGCCCCAACGCUGCUCCUCGUCGUCACCUGCACCAACAGCAAGCCUCCGAGCAAGGCACCUCUUAAACCCUUUUCUUUUUACACCUUUGGAUCUGUAUAUGCAGCAGGUGUAGAAACAGACGACGUUGGAGGCUUGCACCCUUGACCAGACUGGGUUAGACAGUACACUCCCGAGGACCUUCUAAUUCCGCAUAAAGAAUAAAUAAACAACGUUUAUGAUUUAGAGAGAAUAAAGUAGUUUUCAAUUUAGAUCCCUAGGAUGUAUGACUGGUUUAUUAAUUACAAACAAUUUUCUUAUUUAUUGGAAUAUUAUAUGAUGCAUGGAAAAAAAAACUUAGGGUCGUUUCAGUUGGUAUCAGAGCAAGGAUGUUGUAAGGGAUGUGUACUACAAGUUUCGGAAAGUCCAAGAGCUGAGCUCCAAGUCUGUGAGUUAUUACCGCUUUGAAUUGUAUAUGCUAAAUUUAAAUGCUUAUAUGUUAUAAAAGUUAGGCGGCUAAAUGUUUCGAACGAGUGUAAUAUGGUUACGAGUGGGAUUGGAUGAUAUGUGCAGGUAUGCCUCCAAGACUGAUCUAUCAAAGGUGUAGGGCAGAUGGUCAUGAUGGAGGAGAACGUGAGGAGGAGAGACAUGCCACGCCUGAUCCCCUAUCUCUGCUAUGAGAUGCUGCUACCCGUAUACUAGAAGGGAUGACUUGACUCAUAGAGCGGCAUACUAGUAAUGCCCAUAGGGGACGACAGGAGGACGUGUAUGUACAGUUCAGGAGGAUGGACCCUAAGGAUUUUGCUAGCACAACCGACCCCUUUGUUGCUGAGGGGUGGAUUCGAUCCUUGGAGGUGAUAUUCCGAUACAUGGAUAUGACUGACACUGAUAGAGUUCGAUGUGUCAUAUAUCUGCUGAAGGAUGAUGCUUCUCUAUGGUGGGAGGGAGCUGAAAAGGGGGUUAAUCAGAAUACCCUGACCUGGGAGGAGUUCAAGAGGAUCUUCUACGAAAAGUAUUUUACCGUUGAUGUGAGAUCGAGUUUGCAGAGGGAGUUUAUGAGUCUCCGACAGGGAGACUUGUUUGUUGCUGAGUUUGUCAAGAAGUUUGAUAGAGGAUGUCAUUUGUGCCCCUAAUUGCAAAUAAUGCUACUGAAAAAUUAAGGCACUUUUUGGAUGGUCUCAAGCCUACCAUCCGUCGGGACAUUCUGUUGGCCGAUCCAACUGAAUACUAGAGCGCUAUCACUAGAGCCUUCAGAGCCGAGCAAUCCUUGAAAGAUAUCGAGUGGGAAGUGAAGAGGAAGAGGCCUCCUCCACAAUAACAACAAUAGCAGAAUAAGAAGUUAUAUACCUGACCACAGAAAGGACAAUGACAGUCGAAGCCUCAAGGGAAAAUGAAGCAACAAUUACAGGAAGCAACUGCCCCAAAGAUAGAGGAAAAGCCAUUGUGCAAGGAGUGCAAUCGCCAGCACUAUGGCCAGUGCCUGUGGGGUACCUACAAGUGGUUCAAAUGCGGAGGAGACAUGCACAAAGCUAAAGAUUGCCCAAAGUUGCGAGAAUCGGUGACCGAACGAGCAUUUGUGAUGCAUGCCAAGGAAGCAGAGCUAGACACUAUGCUUGUCACAGAUAAUCCAACUAAUUUAAUGUAUUUAUUGUCUAUCGCAUAAAAUGUUAAGCAUGGCUAAUUUACAUGAUCUGAGAUGAGACCUUCAAUCACCAAAAUAUAGACAAGAAAUAUAAAGCUCCAAACAUAGUAAGGAUGAAAAUUUGAUCGAUUUGAAAUGUUAAGGGGCUUAACGGGCAAUUUUCGAUAAUUAUUAAGCUUAGGUGGGUAUAAUGGUAUUGUUGUCACAGGUAGAAUAUCCAUCGCAGGUGUAGCUACCUAUGCUUUUCUAGAUUCGGGAGCUACACACUCAUUUAUAUCCGAGGUCGUCAUAGAGCGACUAGGAAUCUUACCAGAAGACAAGGGGAUUGGAUUUAGAGUCACUGGACCUUCUGGCGAGCAGAUGUUAUCUACCAGGAUAGCGAAGGACAUGGAGCUUAUACUACAGGAGCAUGUGGUUCAGGCAGAUCUCAUUGUGUUGCCAAUGCCUAAGUUCGACAUUAUUCUGGGAAUGGAUUGGUUAUCGCAGAAUGGAGCUUCGAUCGACUUUCGGUGGAGGUCAGUGUCCAUUCGACCACCCCACGGGGUGCCAUUUAUUUUUGAGGCAAUCAGGAAUAGACAGAGGCCGCACCUCAUUUCUUGCAUCAGUGCUGGGAAGCUCAUGAUCAAGGGAUGCCAAGGAGUUCUAGCCAAUGUUAUUUCGAUACCUGAUGCAGUCGGCCAUAAGGUGGAGGAUGUCAAAGUUGUCCAAGAAUUUCCUAACGUAUUUCUUGAGGAUGUCUCUGGUAUUCCUCCGGAAAGGGAGGUGGAAUUUUCCAUUGAGCUAAUACCGGGUACCGUGCCAAUCUCUAAGGCACCGUAUCGACUCACUUCGGCAGAAAUAAAAGAACUAAAGGAUCAUAUUCAAGAGCUACUGGACAAAGGAUUCAUUCGCCCAAUCUUUCGCCAUGGGGCGCACCCGUAUUAUUUGUGAAGAAAAAGGAUGGAAGUAUGAGACUCUGUAUCGAUUAUCAAGAAUUAAAUAGAGUGACAGUGAAAAACAAGUAUCCUUUGCCAAGAAUCGAAGAUUUAUUUGAUCAGUUGCAAGGGCCGUUGGUAUUCUCGAAGAUAGAUCUCCGAUCAUGAUACCACCAACUGAGAGUAAAAGAAACGGACGUGCACAAGACGGCUUUUAGGACGCGAUAUAGACAUUAUGAGUUUAUGGUGAUGCCAUUUGGAGUGACAAAUGUCCCAGGGAUCUUCAUAGAUCUCAUGAAUCGUGUAUUUCAGUCGUAUCUCGAUCAAUUCAUUAUUAUAUUCAUAGAUGACAUUUUGAUCUAUUCGAGGAGCAAGGAGGAGCAUAGUCAACACUUGAGGAUCGCUUUGCAGAUAUUGCAAGAUAGAAAGUUGUUUGCAAAGUUCAGUAAGUGUGAGUUCUGGUUAGAGAAAGUAGCAUUCCUGGGCCACGUUAUUUCAAAGGACGGGGUAGAAGUAGAUCCUAUUAAAGUCGAGGCGGUAAGAGGAUGGCCAAUGCCUAAAAAUGCAACCGAGAUACGUAAUUUCUUGGGUUUGGCGGGCUACUAUCGAAAAUUCAUCAAUAGCUUUUCUUCCAUUGCAGUGCCCUUGACGGCCUUGACGAGGAAGAAUGCUAAGUUUAUAUGGGGAGCUGAUUGUCAAGACAAUUUUUAGUGGUUGAAGCAAGCGCUUACUACCGCGCUAGUUUUAGCUAUGCCAUCAAGACAGGGAGAGUAUGUGUUGUAUACAAAUUCUUCAAAGCUAGGCUUGGGCACGGUUCUAAUGCAGCACGAUCGAGUUAUUGCAUAUGCGUCCCGGCAAUUAAAAGUGCAUAAAAAGAAUUAUAUGACACAUGACCUUGAACUGGCAGCAGUUGUGUUUGCUCUCAAGAUAUGGAGACACUAUUUGUAUGGGGAGAAGUGCAAAAUCUUUACUGACCACAAAAUCCCAGUGUUGAGAAAAUCGGAUCGGACCGGCUAGUCCGACCGGUUGAAUCGCGAACCGGCUCUUGAUAUGGUCCGGUCCACCAUUAAAGAUGAAAAAAAUAAAAAAAUGAUCAAACCCAGUCAAAACCGCUCGAAAUCGUCAAAAUUGCAGGUUUAAUCAGAAUUGAAGCAUGAUUUUUAAUAUAUAUAUAUAUAUAUAUAUAACGGUUGAACCAUCGAUUCGACCAGUCAAACCUUAAAAACCUCAACCUGGUCAUCGCAUCGGUUCAAUGACCGGUCCAGUUUUUAAAACAUUGCAAAAUCCUAAAGUACAUCUUCACCCAGAAAGAAUUAAACAUGAGACAGAGAAGAUGUCAGAGCUUGUGAAGGACUACGACUGUGAUAUUAGCUACCACCCCGGGAAAACUAAUGUGGUUGCUGAUGCCUUCAGUAGGAAAACAACAGUCAUCGCACAACUAUCAGUACAGAAACCUCUUCAGUCGAAAAUUCAAGGAUUUAACCUCGAGAUAUAUGCUAGGAGCCAGACUCCCAACUUAACCACACUAAUCAUACAGCCUAUCUUGAGGGACAAAAUUCGGAUAGGACAAGCUAUUAAUAGACAGCUACAGAAGUGGAUAUAGAAGGAUGAAUCUAAGGGUUUAGGUUUAUAUUCAGUCGAAGAUGGUAUUGUUGAAUACCGGGGUAGACUCUGGCUUCCUGGUGUUGACUCACUCAGAGUUGAGAUUUUGACAGAAGCUCAUAAUACUCCAUAUUCUGUACAUCGAGGGGGUAUAAAGAUGUAUAAGGACCUGCAAUUACUUUAUUGGUGGCUAGGUACGAAGCGUGACAUCGCAUGUUUUGUAUCGGAAUGCUUAACUUGUCAACAAGUCAAAGAAGAACAUUAGAGACCAGUAGGGAUACUUAAGCCACUUCCAAUUCCUGAGUGGAAAUGGGAGAACAUCACUAUGGAUUUUGUAGUGGGUCUACCGAAGAUGAUGAUAGGCUUUAAUGUCAUAUGGGUGAUAGUCGAUCGACUCACUAAGUCGGCAUAUUUCCUACCAGUGAAGAUAACCUUCUCCGUGACUCAGUAUGCAGAGUUGUACGUCCAGGAAAUAGUCAGAUUGCAUGGGAUUCCUUUUUCUAUAGUAUUGGACAGAGAUCCGAGGUUCACCUCGACUUUCUGGAAAAGUUUGCAUUCGGUCAUGGGGACCAAACUAUUAUUUAAUACAUCAUUUCAUCCCCAAACAAAUGGUCAAUCGGAGAGGAUGAUACAAAUUUCGGAAGACUUACUGUGAGCGUGUGUGAUUGAUUUCUAAGGGAGCUAGGAGUCAAAGUUACCGCUUGUGGAGUUCACUUAUAACGACAGUUAUCAGUCAUCUAUAGGCAUGAUUCCUUAUGAGACACUUUAUGGAAGGAAAUGCAGAUCCCCCAUCCAUUGGGAUGAAGUGGGAUAGAGGGCAGAUAUGAGUCUAGGAAUCAUGAGGCAUAUGACAGACCUAGUAGCCAGGAUUAGGGAGAGAAUGAAGACUGCUCAAAGUCGACAAAAGAGUUAUGCACCUGGAAUUUACAGUUGGUGAUCGCGUUUUUGUAAAGAUAGCACUGAUGAAGGGUGUUAUGAGAUUUGGCAAGAAAGGUAAGCUUAGCCCGAGAUUCAUUGGGCUCUUUGAGAUCCUAGACAGGGUGGGAACAUUGGCAUAUCAGGUGGCCUUGUCACCUAAUCUUGCAGGGGUGCAUAAUGUGUUCCAUGUUUUAAUGUUGCGCAAAUACAUGUUGAAUCCGUCCCACGUGCUGAAUUUCGAACCACUGCAACUUACCCCAGAUUUAUCCUAUAAAGAGAGACACAUACAGAUACUGGACUGGCAAGAGAGAAAGCUACGGAAUUGGACGGUCAAGAUGGUCAAGGUCAAGUGGCUGAACCACGCUGAUGAGGAGGCCACUUGGGAGACAGAAGCUGACAUGCAGGACCGCUACCCGAAGUUAAUUGGUAAGUUUAAAAAUUUUGAAGAUGAAAUCCAAUUAAGGGGGAGAGGAUUUGUAAUGUCCGACUUAAAAAAACAAGGGGGAGCAUGAUAAUAGGCUCUUUAUUUACUUAAGGGGGGAUAAUUUGCUAAUAACCAACUAAUAAACACAUGGGCUCGGCCCAAUUGGUGAGGACUAGACAUAACCCUAGGGUUUAGUUCUUAUAAGAGGGGUGAUGAAGAGGAAAAAAAAAGAGAAAAGAGGAAGGAGGGCUCUUGGCGGAAGAAAAGAAAGGGAGAGAGAGAAGUCUCUGCGGGGAGAAAAGAAAGGGGGAGGGAGAAGUCUCGGCAAGAGAAAAGAAAGCGGGAAGGAGAGCUCUUGGCUUCGACCUUGGAAGGAAGAACGAGGCCAAAGAGACGCCCCACCGCUGCUCCUCGUCGUCACUUGCGCCAACAGCAAGCCUCCGAGCAAUGCACCUCUUAAACCCUUUUCUUUUUACUCCUUGGAAUCUGUAUAUGUAGCAAGUUUUCGACUCUUCUUUCUACUCCUUUGAGCUUGUGUAUGCAGCAAGUUUCCGACCUUUCUUUCUACGCCUUUGAAUCUGAAUACACAGCAGUUUUUCGACUUUUCCUUCUACUCAUUUGAAUCUGUAUAUGCAACAGUUUUUUCGAUUUUCUUCCCACGCCUUUAAACUUGUAUAUGCAACAGAUUUUUGAGAGAUAUCGAGGUCAUACGCAGCAGGUUUUCGAGAGGGAUUUGAGGGCUAAGAGCAGCAGAUUUUUGGGAGAUUUCUGGGUUAUACACAACAGGUUUUUGAGGGGUUUUGAAGGCUAAGAGCAGCAGAUUUUUGAGAGAUUUCUGGCUUAUGCACAGUAGGUUUUCGAGGGGGAUUUGAGGGUUAAGAGCAGCAGAUUUUUGAGAGAUAUCGGGGUCAUACAUAGUAGGUUUUCAAGGGAGAUUUGAGGACUAAGAGCAGCAGAUUUUUGAGGGGAUUUGGGGUAUGUGCAGUAAGUUUUGAGGGGGAAUGGGAGCUAUAAGCAGCAGAUUUUCUGAAGGAUUACUUGGGCUAUUUGCGACAAGGUUUGAGAAGUUUUCAAAGGGUGUGUAGCAGAUUUUGACGGAUGGUUGGUCACUUGAUGUUCAAGGAGGUCUAGGAGUGUGAAUGUUUAUUUAGUUUUAAAUAGUUAAUGAUGUUCAUAAUCAUUGAGCUUCACGUAGUUAGUAAUAUGCAUGCUUAUUUGAGCCUCAUGUAGAUUAAUGAUAUGAAUGUUUAAUUAGCUUUAUGUAUUAAUUGAUAAUCAUGCUUAUUUAGCUUUGCUUAGUUAA